GAUCAGGUAGGGAUACCCGCUGAACUUAAGCAU
rnacentral:rRNA from 1 species